GACGAACGCUGGCGGCGUGCCUAAUACAUGCAAGUUGAGCGCUGAAGGUUGGUACUUGUACCGACUGGAUGAGCAGCGAACGGGUGAGUAACGCGUGGGGAAUCUGCCUUUGAGCGGGGGACAACAUUUGGAAACGAAUGCUAAUACCGCAUAAAAACUUUAAACACAAGUUUUAAGUUUGAAAGAUGCAAUUGCAUCACUCAAAGAUGAUCCCGCGUUGUAUUAGCUAGUUGGUGAGGUAAAGGCUCACCAAGGCGAUGAUACAUAGCCGACCUGAGAGGGUGAUCGGCCACAUUGGGACUGAGACACGGCCCAAACUCCUACGGGAGGCAGCAGUAGGGAAUCUUCGGCAAUGGACGAAAGUCUGACCGAGCAACGCCGCGUGAGUGAAGAAGGUUUUCGGAUCGUAAAACUCUGUUGGUAGAGAAGAACAUUGGUGAGAGUGGAAAGCUCAUCAAGUGACGGUAACUACCCAGAAAGGGACGGCUAACUACGUG
rnacentral:rRNA from 1 species